UACGAAGGGUGCAACCGUUGCUCGGAAUCAUUGGGCGUAAAGCGCACGUAGGCGGCUUCGCAAGUCGGAUGUGAAAUCCCUCGGCUCAACCAAGGACGUGCAUCCGAAACUGCGAAGCUUGAGUACAGAAGAGGAUCGCGGAAUUCCCGGUGUAGAGGUGAAAUUCGUAGAUAUCGGGAGGAACACCAGUGGCGAAGGCGGCGAUCUGGGCUGAUACUGACGCUGAGGUGCGAAAGCGUGGGGAGCGAACAGG
rnacentral:rRNA from 1 species